rnacentral:lncRNA from 1 species
GUCAUCAUUAUUGUGACUUUGUAACAUUUUAGCUAACACCCAGCUUUAGGCUGUGACUUGGAAACAUUUUAUCUUCAACGUCUGGCCCUAGGCCCUGGGUUUCAGGCUUGACGUUUGUCAUCGGAGAAUUUAAAAGUGAGUCCAGAAACGAUCACUGAUCCCUGGUGUAUGUGAACCUUGACUGGCCCUUGAUGUGAAUAAAUCAACUGCGAAAAGAGAUUUAUGAAGCUGCUGGGAACACCUGACUGGAUGCUCGUAAGAACGUUCAGGUGUUAUGAUGCUGUGGUGUUUCUCUGAAUUUAAAGAAACGUACUCAGAGCAUAUAAGAUUCAAAACUAUGGGUUUGCUUUAAAAGAAUCCAGUCCACCAGGUGCAGUGGCUCACGCCUGUAGUCCCAGAACUUUGGGAGGCCGAGGCAGGCAGAUCACGAGGCCAGGAGUCCAAGAGAAGACUGGCCAAAAUGGUGAAACCCCACAAAAGAUACAAAAAAUUAGCCGGGUGUGGUGGCGUGCACCUGUAAUCCCAGUUACUCAGGAGGUUAAAGCAGAAGAAUCGCUUGAACCUGGGAGGCGGAGGUUGCAGUGAGCCAAGAUGACACCACUGCACUCCAGCCUGGGCUACAGGGCAAGACUCCGUCAGGAAAAAAA